AUUUAUAUAAUAUAAAAAGUAUAUUUGAUUUCCAAUCAAAAAGUCUAUUAAUUUAUAGUAUAAAUA
rnacentral:tRNA from 1 species